GUGCCAGCAGCCGCGGUAAUACGGAGGAUGCAAGCGUUAUCCGGAAUGAUUGGGCGUAAAGCGUCCGCAGGUGGCUGUGUAAGUCUGCUGUUAAAGCGUCUGGCUUAACCAGAUACAAGCAGUGGAAACUACACAGCUAGAGUGCGUUCGGGGCAGAGGGAAUUCCUGGUGUAGCGGUGAAAUGCGUAGAUAUCAGGAAGAACACCGGUGGCGAAAGCGCUCUGCUAGGCCGCAACUGACACUGAGGGACGAAAGCUAGGGGAGCGAAUGGGAUUAGAUACCCCUGUAGUCCUAGCCGUAAACGAUGGGUACUAGGCGUUGACCGUAUCGACCCGGUCAGUGCCGGAGCUAACGCGUUAAGUACCCCGCCUGGGGAGUACGCACGCAAGUGUGAAACUCAAAUGAAUUGACGGGG
rnacentral:rRNA from 1 species